AUGAGGAAGACGAUGCCGCGUGACACUUCAGCGAGUGGAGCGUUGGUGCCGAGCGACUCGGCGACGAUGGUGGCUGCCGCGACGGCAGCGACGACGGCGGCGGGGAAGCUUCCAUUCCCGCUGCUCACGAGGACGAACUACGCGGCAUGGGCGAUGAGGAUGAAGUACCUCUUGCGCGCCAAUGGCGCGUGGGGUGCCGUUGAUCGCGAGGCCACGUCCUCGGAGGUCGACAAGGGCAAGGAGGAGAUGGCCAUGACGAUCAUCUCCCAGUCCAUCGACGACUCGACGCUGCUGCGAGUUGCGGAGAAGGAGACCGCGGCCGAUGUGUGGGCGGCGCUACGCUCCAUGCAUGUGGGCGUCGAGCGCGUCCGAGAGGCGAGGGUUCAAUCCUUGCGCUCGGAGUUUGAUGGCCUCAAGAUGGGUGAUGCGGAGUCUGUGGAUGACUUCGCAGCGAGGUUCACGACGCUCGUGGGGCUCAUCCGUGAGCUCGAUGAUCAGAUGGAGGAGAAGUACGUCGUGAAGAAGCUGCUGCGAGCCGUCUCCAACAAGUUCAUCCACGUUGCUUCGUCGAUUGCAUUGUUCGGUGACACGAACAAGAUGGCCAUGGAGGAGGCCAUUGGUUCACUCAAGGCGCACGAGGAGCUCGUCAAGGGGCGGGAGACGGCACGUGAAGAAGAGCAGCUCCUCAUGGCGAGAGGGCAUGACUCAUUGCGAGGACGCGGCCGUGGUGGCCGUGGCCGUGGCCGCGGACAUGGCCAUGGUGGAGGGCGCAGAGACAAGAGCGAGGUACAGUGCUAUAACUGUGAUGACUUUGGACAUUUUUCUUGGGAGUGUCCAGAGAAGAAGAAGGAGAACGAGGAGAAGGCGCUGCUGGCCGGCUACGGCAGCGACGGACCGGCUCUUCUUUGA
rnacentral:rRNA from 1 species